rnacentral:lncRNA from 1 species
GACGAGAACCCUAACUUCUUCGUCAUCGUAAAACACUGAAGGACAAAGAGAACUGCUUAUCGACAACGCCGAUAUCGAAGUCAAUGAGGCCGGAGAUGGGCACAUCGACUCGGAUACCUUUCACUGGAAACCAAAGGAAGAGAUCCUGAGCGGAGAUGCCGGAUUCUCCAAAAUUGUGAGUCCUGGAGACGUUGAAAUCAUACCGGACCCGAUUUUAGAACUUGGCGAGGCAAGGCUGGGGCAGAAAGACCUGGAAUUCGCCACUGGAAUCGUUGAGGGAAUAUUCCAUGAUGCCUUUGGGGAGAAGGCCGAUGGGUAAGCCAUAUUGCCGGAGGUGAUCGUAGAUGCUUCCUCCUCUUCCUCCUUCUUCGAUGCUUGUUUUGUUGCUGGAUUUGGGGGCUGGCGAUGCUCUGGCCACGACGCCGAUCACAACAAGGUUGAGCUCGAUUACCUUGAGGAGUCUAGAUCUGCGAUAGUCAAAGAAGGCAAUCGGCGAUUGAAGUUGGUGUUAUCGUGCGGGGACGGCG